UCUUAUGGUAUCAAUCCCCUGCCUUCCUUCCAUGGCAUGAACUGAUCGUGUAAUUUCCUGUUGCACAUCUCCUAUUUCUUCCCCUUCCUCAGGAACAUACAAGUCCUGCUCCAGCUCUUCAUAUUCUGCCUUAUCAGCAUGCAUACUCAUCACAAAUUUCUGCUUGCACUGAUGGCCUAGAAAAUAUCUUUCGCCACAUUUGAAACAAGGCUUUGGAGUUCUGUUAAGUUGGUUUGCUACAUAGGCUUAGACUGAGAUGGGUUUUGAUUAACAGAUGAGUUUUGGCUACUGGUGGUGGUUGUAGGAGUUUUACUGGCUAUAGUGACUGGUUUAGUACUUUGGGUUGAGUUAUUUGGGGGUUUGGUCACACAAGUGAAAUCUUGAUGGAAUGGUGCUGUUUUAUACGUUAUGGAAGGGCUAUAGGUUGAAGUGACAGAUUUGAAUUGACUUGAAUGAUUUUUGAGGUGGUAAUUGGACUUCCCAGUAUUCAAGAUGAGUAGUUCUUGAAGUUUGGCUGCUUUAAAUGCAUGAAUAAGGUUGGUGGGCCUCAACAUUCUUACCAUAGGUCUAAUCUCAUCCCUCAAUCCACCAAUAAAUCAUGGUAGGAAAUAGGAUUCCCCCAAAUCAGGUAAAGAUCCUCAAAUUUAUCUUGGUAUUCAUCUACACUCCCCUCUUGCCUUAGUUUCAUGAAUUCCUCUACGUUAUCUCCAAUAUUUGAUCCCCAAAUCUCCUACACAGUGCCUCCUCAAAAACCUCCCAAGAACUAUCCUUCUUACUCCUAACCUAGUUAUUAAACCAAGAAUCUGCCUUCCCAGACAUAUAAAGACUUGCAAUUCCCACCAUUUUUUUCCCUAGGCACCCCAUACACUUCAAAAUAUUUGAGACAUUUCCUAAUCCAUACCCUUAGAUCAACACCAUCAAAAGUACUAAGUUCAAUUUUAGGUAAAAUCUUGUCAAGAUUACCUGAAUGCCCAAAAGAUUCUGAGCUGGCUUGGUCCUUUCCCAAAUUAGGCAGAUUUGUCUUUUGAGGAUUUGGGAAAAUCCCCUUACUAACUACCACAGUGUUUUCUUGAGAACCAGAACAACUUUCCUUUCCAAGAUCCUUCCUCAAGCCCCAAAUUAGAGUUUUCAAAUCUUCCACAUAAUUAACUGAAGCUUUCACCACCUCCAUCUUAGAUCUGAGCCCAAUUUUUCAAUACUUCUAUCUCUUUCCUUGUAUCCCGAGAAUCCAGCUGAACAGAUCUCAACUGCUCCUCUAAUUCCACUAGCCUCACACUUUCUUGACUCACAACAGCAGAUCUUGUUAUCCUUGCGAUCCCAAAGAAACACUCCCAAAUCAAGGUUCUGAUACCAAAUUUUAGGAUAGCAACCCUAACAAAGAUUGAUAAGAAGAAUAGAAAAAAGAAGAGAAGAAAGAGAGAAUUAGGAAGAGAGAAUUUAGGAGAGGAGAUUGUAUAUCAUUGAUUCAGAUUCUUGAAUGAAUAAUACAGGAGCUAUCUCAUCUCUUGUAUACUGCAGUUCCUGCCAAUAGGUAACUGCGUCUAGAAACAAACCUCUAACAAACUCUAACUGAGUUUCCCUCCAUUCACUAACUAUUUGAUUUGACUUUUCUCACUACUGUUUACACAUUAUCCCCUGCCCUCUUCUUAUACUUUCUCCUAUAAUGCGUAACAACUUUCAACUUCCAACAAGUAGAUGG
rnacentral:misc_RNA from 1 species